rnacentral:rRNA from 1 species
AUGCGCCUUUUUGAGGCCUUCCAUAAUAACACUUUGGAUGUGGCCCGUCUCAAUUAUGGUAUCAUUACCCUAAUCCCUAAAAUGAGUGGAGCCAAGAAAAUUCAGCAAUAUAUGCCUAUUUGCCUCCUCCGCUGUCCAUACAAACUUAUCACAAAGGUUUUGGACAACAGAGUGGCUAUAUUCGCUGACAAACUUAUCAGUAAGCACCAGAAUGCCUUUAUUAAACAUAGAAAUAUUAUGGAUGGCAUACUUACGUUGCACGAAGUUCUUCAUCACACGCACCACAAAAAGAAAGUGGGUGUGGUGCUGAAGCUAGACUUCAAAAAGGCCUAUGACAAAAUCAACUGGGACUUCCUGCUGGAGUGUCACAAGAUUAGGGGCUUUGGUCCUACUUGGUGUGGUUGGAUCCAAUUUUUUUUUAAAAUGGGACUGUCAGUAUCAAGUUGA